UCGUCUGAUAUAUUGUCCGGUCUUUUACUACUUAAAUACGCCUUCUUUUCUUGUAAUUCUUUGGCCCCUAGACUCUGCACUGACCAUCAAAGAAAAUGCAUUUUCACCUUACUUUGUCCAAAUUUAACGUACUCGUCAUUUAAAAGAUCAUAGAAAACAUUUUGCCGUACGCACGAAUGCCUAAACCAUGAUGGGAACUGUUUGUAUGCAAUGUUGAAAUGCGUUUUCUUUUCGCGUAAAAUUUUUGUACUAGUAUGGUAGACAUUUAAUCUAUUCUUGCUUACUGAAGACUUUUUGUCAAAAUCUUGAAUCUUGCAAUUUUGAUGUUGUAUCUCUUGCCUACGUCAGGAAAUAGGGCACAGUAAUUGCAUGGCCCAUUUUGAGUCUACUGUGUGCCUAUACACAUGUAAUGGGAGAGGUAUUAGAACAACUUAUUACAUGGAGGUUUUGCGUCAAUUUGGGACUUGAGUUGUCAGCAGUUGGUUGAAAAGAGCAUCAAUGGGUAAGAAUGAAAAUAAUCCGUAACAUUUCAACUCUUUUGAUUUUGUAUAUUAGCAAAUAUAGGAUCACAGGUUUUUUCUCCAUUCAUCUUUAGAAUCAUGGGUUGCUCACUGUUUAUUGAACAUUCUCGUCUAUUCAGGCCAAAAGUAUGACAAGUCUAUCCACAUUGAACAUGGAACCGAUUACUGUAUUGUACAUAGAAAUGUUUGAAGAUUGAAUGGGUUCGGUUCAUGUUGGAGUAAUGUUCCAGAAAGCAGCAUUCCAGGGGCAAGAAUCUAAGUUGAAAGGCUGAUCAACACAUUAUGUAUUGUUCAACUUGUUUUCUUUGCUCCUUGGUGAAUUUGAAUUAAAUUAGAAAUUGAAAGUUAUUGAACUAAUUUUCCAAUCAGUUAGAUGGAAGUUGUGGAAGUUACCGAAAUGUCGGGACGGGGUAAUACGCAAAAUUUGGAGUCGAAAAAAGUGUUUUAUGUGGUGAAUACUUAGAACGUCUGUUUGCACUUCCAGAAGUUUUAAGGCUUGGGACGCGAUAAAGGCAGUAGA